rnacentral:rRNA from 1 species
UCCUACGGAUCAAGCAGGGGGAAUAGCGCACAAAAUUCGCAAACCGUAUGCAGCCUUGCCGCGUUUAUGAAGAAGGCCUUGGGGUUAUAACGUACUUUAAGCGGGGAGGAAGGUAUUGUGGUUAAUAACCACAGCAAUCGACGUUACCCGCAGAAGAAGCACCGGCUAACUCCGUGCCAGCAGCCGCGGUAAUACGGAGGGUGCAAGCGUUAAUCGGAAUUACUGGGCGUAAAGCGCACGCAGGUGGUCUGUCAAGUCGGAUGUGAAAUCCCCGGGCUCACCGUGGGAAAUGCAUUCGAAACUGGCAGGCUGGAGUCUUGUAGAGGGGGGUAGAAUUCCAGGUGUAGCGGUGAAAUGCGUAGAGAUCUGGAGGAAUACCGGUGGCGAAGGCGGCCCCCUGGACAAAGACUGACGCUCAGGUGUGAAAGCGUGGGGAGCAAACAGGAUUCGAUCCCCUGGUAGUCCACCCCGUAAAAGACGUCGAUUUGGAGGUUGUGCCCCCGAGGGCAGGCUUCUCGGAGCUAACCGCGUUAAAUCGCCCGGCCUGG